UACGAAGGGAGCUAGCGUUGUUCGGAAUCACUGGGCGUAAAGCGCACGUAGGCCGAUUUGUAAGUCAGGGGUGAAAUCCCGGGGCUCAACCUCGGAACUGCCUCUGAUACUGCAAGUCUAGAGUCCGGAAGAGGUGGGUGGAAUUCCUAGUGUAGAGGUGAAAUUCGUAGAUAUUAGGAAGAACACCGGUGGCGAAGGCGGCCCACUGGUCCGGUACUGACGCUGAGGUGCGAAAGCGUGGGGAGCAAACAGG
rnacentral:rRNA from 1 species